CACCCGCAGCUCAAGUGGUGGUCACUUUUAUUGAGCCUAAAGCGUUCGUAGCCGGUUGCGUAAAUCUUCAGAAAAAUUCUUCCGCUCAACGGAAGAUCCUCUGAAGAGACUGCGCGACUUGGGACUGGGUGAGGUUGAAUGUACUUCUGGGGUAGGGGUAAAAUCCUGUAAUCCUAGAAGGACAACCGGUGGCGAAGGCGUUCAACUAGAACAGAUCCGACGGUGAGGAACGAGGGCUAGGGGAGCAAACCGG
rnacentral:rRNA from 1 species